AGGUUUGUGUUUCCGUUCACAGUGCGAGAUGUUUGAAUGAUCACAGUAUAGCAGAUAUUUAUCUGAAUCAGAAAAUGAAGAUCAUAUCGCUUCAGAUCUAUCUGCUCAUGUGGUCUCAAGCCACAGAGAGUCUAACAAACAUACCAGUAACUUUAGGAGCUGAUGUUAUUAUAACCUGUGAUCUUGAUAUAGAGGAGAUUUACUGGUACAAACUGAAAUUACCGGAUCCUCCAGUGUUGAUCUUACGCACUUAUGAUAGCAUAUAUGAAAUAGCUAAAUAUGAAAAUAGCAUCUUUGAACACAAAUACUCAGUGAAAACUAACAGUCGUCUGUUCAUCAAAAAUAUCACCAUUGAUGAAUUAGGAGUUUAUUAUUGCGUGAAAACUAGUGAACCACAAAAAUUCAAUAAUGGCACCAAAAUCUACAUCAGCGACUUUGACCAAAAGAAUAUUACAGACUCAGUCCACAGGAAUCAGACAGAUGAUGCUCCACAACACCAGAUACCAUGGAAAACUCUGACCAUCACAUCUGUCCUGAUAAAUGUACUCUUGACCAUUGCAGUGAUAGGUUUGGUGAAGAGCUGCCUUAAUGCAACCAGAAGAUCUAAAAAUACUUCAGUGGACCCUCAAAGUACAGCUGCAGCUCAGUAUGCUGAAAUUGAUUUUUCCAUGCCUCCCGGUGGAAGCAGUCCUUGCCAGGAACAGACAACAUACUCUCUUCUACAGCCAAUAAAAACUUUCACAAACAAGGCUUAAGCUAGUCCCAGACUAAAAUGCAUGUUUGAGCUGUUUCAAAUGAAUGCAACUUGUACUGACAGAUCUUAAAAUAUGUCAGAGCCAUUGUUUUGUCUCAGUUGCACACUAAUGUUUGUUUUCUAGUGAACGUUUAUAAAAGCUACUUAAAUACCCUAAUUGAACUAAGGCCUAAUCCUGGCUUAGGCUAAGACCUGUCUGUGAUACUGGGCCAUGAUAAUUUUUAAUGUACAUAAUUUGAAUAUACAAAUAUAACGUUCAUACACAAAUACUCAGUGCAGUAGAAUCUACUUGUACUUGUAUGAUGCAGACAGUUUGUAAUGAUCAGUUCUGAGAUGAUUUGUCACAUUAUGUUUUAAAGUUAAAUAUGAAAAAAAUUAUUAAAAUUCUUAUUUUUUGAAAAUAAAGUGCUAAAAGUAGUGGACACCAGGGCUAUUUGCCACAAGAGGAAAUUCUCACAAAUGCUGUAUAAAGUUUUGAGUCCAACGUGUGUUUCCUCGACUGGUGGUUUUAACCACGAGGUUCAUCUGUGCUCUCAGAACAAGAGUUUGUUGCAUGCAUGUUUUUGUGUUACCUUGUUUGCUGCUUAAUGAAUUGUUACAUGUUUAAACAUGCAGUUUGGUGGAUGCUGUACACAGAGUGUGGUAGAUAAUAUAAUGCUCUUGUCUGGUAAUAAAAGUUGCUGUUUUGAAUGGA